UAACCUGCCCAAGAGAUCGGGAUAACACCUGGAAACAGAUGCUAAUACCGGAUAACAACAGAUGAUGCCUAUCAACUGUUUAAAAGAUGGUUCUGCUAUCACUCUUGGAUGGACCUGCGGUGCAUUAGCUAGUUGGUAGGGUAACGGCCUACCAAGGUGAUGAUGCAUAGCCGAGUUGAGAGACUGAUCGGCCACAUUGGGACUGAGACACGGCCCAAACUCCUACGGGAGGCAGCAGAG
rnacentral:rRNA from 1 species